rnacentral:lncRNA from 1 species
UGCUUAUGCACCUAAGAAACCUUACGGUGAGUGCCACAAACCGGCUCCUUACCAUCCUCCAUACUACUACAAAUCUCCACCACCACCGUCUCCGGUUUACUACUACAAGUCACCACCUCCACCAGCUCCUACUUACGUCUACAAGUCUCCACCACCACCAACUCCGACUUAUGUCUACAAAUCACCACCUCCACCAACCCCAACAUAUGUCUACAAAUCACCACCACCACCAACUCCGACUUACGUCUACAAGUCACCACCGCCGCCAACCCCGACCUAUGUUUACAAAUCACCACCGCCACCAACCCCGACUUAUGUCUAUAAAUCUCCACCACCACCAACCCCUACUUAUGUUUACAAGUCACCACCUCCACCAACUCCGACUUAUGUAUACAAGUCACCACCACCUCCAACCCCAACAUAUGUUUACAAAUCUCCACCACCACCAACUCCAACCUAUGUUUACAAAUCACCACCUCCUCCUACUCCGACCUAUGUCUACAAGUCACCGCCUCCUCCCACUCCAACGUAUGUUUACAAAUCACCACCCCCUCCAACGCACACUCCUACACCAUACUACUACCACUCUCCACCACCACCAGUAAAAUCUCCUCCACCUCCAUAUUAUUAUCACUCACCACCACCACCCAUCAAAUCCCCACCACCUCCAUACUACUACCAUUCUCCACCACCUCCGGUCAAGUCUCCUCCACCACCAUACUACUAUCAUUCACCACCUCCUCCGGUGAAAUCUCCUCCUCCUCCUUACUAUUACCAUUCUCCACCUCCUCCGGUGAAGUCUCCUCCUCCACCUUACUACUACCACUCUCCACCUCCUCCGGUGAAGUCUCCACCCCCUCCUUACUACUACCACUCCCCACCUCCUCCGGUGAAGUCUCCACCCCCACCUUACUACUACCACUCUCCACCUCCUCCGGUGAAAUCUCCUCCCCCUCCUUACUACUACCACUCCCCACCUCCUCCCGUGAAGUCGCCACCCCCUCCUUACUACUACCACUCCCCACCUCCUCCGGUGAAGUCUCCUCCUCCACCUUACUACUAUCACUCCCCACCUCCUCCGGUGAAAUCUCCACCACCACCAUACUACUACCACUCACCACCUCCUCCGGUGAAAUCUCCACCACCACCAUACUACUACCACUCACCACCUCCUCCGGUGAAAUCUCCACCACCACCAUACUACUACCACUCACCACCUCCUCCCGUCAAGUCUCCUCCUCCACCAUACUAUUACCACUCACCACCUCCACCCGUGAAAUCUCCUCCUCCACCAUACUACUACCACUCACCACCUCCACCCGUGAAAUCUCCUCCUCCACCAUACUACUACCACUCACCUCCCCCACCAGUGAAAUCACCUCCACCACCUUACUACUAUCACUCACCACCCCCACCUGUGAAGUCUCCUCCUCCACCAUACUAUUAUCACUCACCACCCCCUCCAGUCAAAUCUCCACCACCACCAUACUAUUAUCACUCACCACCCCCUCCAGUCAAAUCUCCACCACCACCAUACUACUACCAUUCACCACCUCCUCCGGUGAAAUCCCCACCACCACCGUACCAUUACAACUCUCCACCACCACCAGUAAAAUCUCCCCCACCUCCAGUCUACAUCUACGCUUCUCCCCCACCUCCUACCCAUUACUAGGCUCGUCAAACUCAGCAACAUUUCCACAUUAUUCAAGUAAGUUCCAACCCUCCAAUACUUUCAAUAUGCUCCAUAUCCAUUUCGAUAAAACUUUCCACUAAAAUCUCA